GAUGAACGCUGGCGGCGUGCCUAAUACAUGCAAGUCGAGCGAACAGACGAGGAGCUUGCUCCUCUGACGUUAGCGGCGGACGGGCGAGUAACACGUGGAUAACCUACCUAUAAGACUGGGAUAACUUCGGGAAACCGGAGCUAAUACCGGAUAAUAUAUUGAACCGCAUGGUUCAAUAGUGAAUGACGGUUUUGCUGUCACUUAUAGAUGGAUCCGCGCUGCAUUAGCUAGUGGGUAAGGUAGCGGCUUACCAAGGCAACGAUGCGUAGCCGGCCUGAGCGGAUGCUAAGACCCACUGGACGUGAGCCACGGUCCAGGGUCCUACGGGAGGAAGAAGAGGGGAUUGUGGGAGAACGGGGGAGCGCUUGACCAAGCCAUCCCGCGUGGGUGAAGAAGGACUUAGGAUCGUAACACUAUUUUCUGGGGCAAGAAAAGGGGUGUGAAAAUACAGAGCUGUUUUGACGGUCCCAAAAGACUACGCACGGGAUAACUGCGUC
rnacentral:rRNA from 1 species